rnacentral:rRNA from 1 species
AUGCGUUGUUGGGUAGGGGAGCGUUCUGUAAGCCUGUGAAGGUGUGCUGUGAGGCAUGCUGGAGGUAUCAGAAGUGCGAAUGCUGACAUAAGUAACGAUAAAGCGGGUGAAAAGCCCGCUCGCCGGAAGACCAAGGGUUCCUGUCCAACGUUAAUCGGGGCAGGGUGAGUCGACCCCUAAGGCGAGGCCGAAAGGCGUAGUCGAUGGGAAACAGGUUAAUAUUCCUGUACUUGGUGUUACUGCGAAGGGGGGACGGAGAAGGCUAUGUUGGCCGGGCGACGGUUGUCCCGGUUUAAGCGUGUAGGCUGGUUUUCCAGGCAAAUCCGGAAAAU